GACGAACGCUGGCGGCGUGCUUAACACAUGCAAGUCGAACGGUAAGGCCCUUCGGGGUACACGAGUGGCGAACGGGUGAGUAACACGUGGGUGAUCUGCCCUGCACUUCGGGAUAAGCCUGGGAAACUGGGUCUAAUACCGGAUAGGACCACUGCCUACAUGGGUGGUGGUGGAAAGCUUUUGCGGUGUGGGAUGGGCCCGCGGCCUAUCAGCUUGUUGGUGGGGUGAUGGCCUACCAAGGCGACGACGGGUAGCCGGCCUGAGAGGGUGACCGGCCACACUGGGACUGAGAUACGGCCCAGACUCCUACGGGAGGCAGCAGUGGGGAAUAUUGCACAAUGGGCGCAAGCCUGAUGCAGCAACGCCGCGUGAGGGAUGACGGCCUUCGGGUUGUAAACCUCUUUCAGCACCGACGAAGCGCAAGUGACGGUAGGUGUAGAAGAAGGACCGGCCAACUACGUGCCAGCAGCCGCCGCCG
rnacentral:rRNA from 1 species